rnacentral:rRNA from 1 species
AACUUUCAACAACGGAUCUCUUGGCUCUCGCAUCGAUGAAGAACGCA